UGAGUACUCCCUCCGUCUGAAAAUACUUGUCGGAGAAAUAGAUAAAAAUGGAUGUAUUUAGAACUAAAAUACGUCUAGAUACAUCCAUUUUUCUGACAAGUAUUUCCGGACGGAGGGAGUAUUUU
rnacentral:pre_miRNA from 1 species